GAUGUCUGCUUGGAGUUUUGUUCUUUUGUAGUAUUUUGUGAGUUUUUUCCCUCAAAUAGGGCCUGUACUGUGUUGAGGUUUAGUCAUCAGGUGGGGAGACAGAGGGCCUGCAAAGUAACCAGCUUGUGACAUAUCCUGGGGUAUUGGAUAAGGACAGAAC